GAUGAACGCUGGCGGCGUGCCUAAUACAUGCAAGUCGAGCGAACAGAUGAGGAGCUUGCUCCUCUGACGUUAGCGGCGGACGGGUGAGUAACACGUGGAUAACCUACCUAUAAGACUGGGAUAACUUCGGGAAACCGGAGCUAAUACCGGAUAAUAUAUUGAACCGCAUGGUUCAAUAGUGAAAGACGGUUUUGCUGUCACUUAUAGAUGGAUCCGCGCCGCAUUAGCUAGUUGGUAAGGUAACGGCUUACCAAGGCAACGAUGCGUAGCCGACCUGAGAGGGUGAUCGGCCACACUGGAACUGAGACACGGUCCAGACUCCUACGGGAGGCAGCAGUAGGGAAUCUUCCGCAAUGGGCGAAAGCUUGACGGAGCAACGCCGCGUGAGUGAUGAAGGUCUUCGGAUCGUAAAACUCUGUUAUUAGGGAAGAACAAAUGUGUGAGUAACUAUGCACGUCUUGACGGUACCUAAUCAGAAAGCCACGGCUAACUACGUG
rnacentral:rRNA from 1 species